AACUCCCACGACCAUGCGUCAAUUCUCGUCCCACGACCAUGCGUCAGUUCUCGUUUAUAUAUAUAUAUAUAUUUGCAGAAUUUACACGAGGUGCGGAUUAGGUGCGGAUGAACAGUUAUAUAUAUAUAUAAGUUAUUUUAUUUUAUUAUUAUUUAAUAUUUUUCUUUUAUAUUUUGGAUAUGUAGGAGAUUCAAAUAUUCAUUCUGUCAGCUGAAAUUGUCUCUCUUUUAUUGAAUCUAGCUAUUAUUUUGGAGGUUUCAGGUGAGUGGUAAUUAUAGUACAUGGCACCAUUUUUGUCCCUUUUAAAAUUUCUUAGCAUUAAACUUGUUAUUAAAUGAAAUUUUAAAUCAAUAUUUUAACAAUGAUUUUAUAUGUGAUUUUCUAGAGUUUUAUUUUAUUAUUGAAUUUUAUUUCGAUUUUGAUUAAAUAAUUGAUUUUGUCAACUAUCUCUGCAUUAGACCCAUUAGGAUUCCGGGAACAGGCC
rnacentral:misc_RNA from 1 species